AAAAAUUCUUCAACUUAUACAAACCCUGAAGGAGUGUAUUUGGCACAGAAAUACUCUGUCAUACGUCCAACAAGUUUUUUUGUUUUUUUUCUUUUUUUUUUGGCCAUGUUUAUCACAAGAAUCCAGCUCUUUAACAGUUAUGUUCACUAGGAUUUAACCAUAUGGCUGUGUGUUAAAAUGACAAUCUCUGACGUUCAGAGCAGCGCAUGUGGGCGAUCUUCAUGCUAUCAACUGCUAUAGUGGCAUCCCAUCUGGUCAUAUGUUCUAAGCACGGAACUUGUCGACAUGGUUAACACAAGCUCAGCGGCUACAAACAGAUGGCCACCAGAUCCAGUCUGUAUCCAAGUCAGAGGGUCACUGCAGUCACCUGGAUCCAGUACAUAUCCAGCCCAGAUGGUGGAUCAGCACCUAGAAAGGACCUCUACAGCCCUGAAAGACAGCGGAGACCAGGACAACUAGAGCCCCAGAGACAGAUCCCCUGUAAAGACCUUGUCUCAGACGACCACCGGGACAAGACCACAGAAACAGAUGAUUCUUCUGCACAAUCUGACUUUGCUGCAGCCUGGUAUUGAACUGCUGGUUUCGUCUGGUCAGAGGAGAACUGGCCCCCCAACUGAGCCUGGUUUCUCCCAAGGUUUUUUCUCCAUUCUGUCACUGAUGGAGUUUUGGUUCCUUGCUGCUGUCGCCUCUGGCUUGCUAGUUGGGUACACUUCAUUUACAGCGAUAUCGUUGACUUGAUUGCAAAUUAUUGCACAGAUACUAUUUAAACUGAACUGAGCUGCAUGAUGACAUCACUGAAUUCAAUGAUGAACUGCC
ensembl:lncRNA